CCUAUUCGCUAUUCUAUUCUGUACUGCAUUUUAUCGCCCAGAUUUUAGUUAGCCUCUGUUCAAUUGACUGUUAUAUGUCAAUAGAAUCAUAUUUCACAAAUUAAAGUGUCUUGUAAAUUAUGGGUUUUUUUCUCAAGAAUUUUCUUCCUAAAUCUCUUACAUGCUAACUGUAACUUGUUACUUCUGCUAAAACCUGAACUUAAAUGUGUAUAUGGUGUUUUAUCUGUUUUUCUCUGUUUUAGAUGCACAUAUCAAUCUGGCAUUCAGGCUUAAAGCCAGAAUUGCAGGAAUGCAACACGUGUUGCAGGGGACUCUUUCACUGCCCUCUGUGCCCCAGUUUCAGCCCUACUGUCAGGGCAAAGAUUGAGGAGCAUCUAAAUGUGCAUAUAAAAAAUGCUUUGCCUUUCAAAGAUAAAAUGAUAUGCCGGUGCAGGCUUCCUUGUAGGACAACAGGACACUUUCACUGCCCUGUCUGUGAGAUUACAAUCAUACAGCGUGGGGAUAUGGCAAGGCAUUUAUUGUCUUGUCAGCAUUCUUCAAUGCCAAGUCAGCCACCAUUAUCAGGACUGCUCCCCGCUGAACUCUCCAAGGAGCCCCGUCUCCCUCCGGCAGCACUCUCCGAGGAGCCCUGUCUUCUUCCAGCAGCACUCUCCGAGGAGACCCGUAUUCCUCCGGCAGCACUCUCCGUGGAGCCCCACCUCUCUCCCGCUGCACUCUCCGUGGAGCCACAUCUCCCUCUUGAUGUCUUGUCUCCAGCAUAUAAACCAUUUUCUGAAUCUUCAGUAGAACAUUCAUGUGUUCUACCCUCUGUGCUGAAUGAAACUGUGGCUUGUGGAAAGUCCAUGAAAAUGAAACGCCCUCACUGUGGUCUUAGUCUUCUUACAAAAAAACCUUCAAGGCUCACAUGAUUAGGAGGCAUUCAAACAGAUCAAUAGAUGUUUGCCUGACCUGUCAUCUGCUGUGUUUUUGUGUAGAGGGACUUCUUCCUCUUUGUUUUUCAGUUUGCAGGGGACAUGGAGCUCUUUUUAAAAGCA